rnacentral:lncRNA from 1 species
UGGAAGCUAGACUGUCGUGAAGAGAAGCCAUGUCUAAAUUAACUCUAAAGAUUGGUUGAGUUUUAUGGGAAAGCUUGUUAUUGGAUGUAUAAAAACUCUAGUGCUGGAAUGAAGAAGAAUAAAAAUCUGCUAUGUUCUAAUCGUACAAAAAUAUCUGCUCUGUUCUCGUGAGCAUGUCGUGAAGAGAAGUGACUAGACGGAGUUGGUCUAGUAGUUUCUUUAAUUCCCAUUUUGCAACACCCUUAUUCUCAUACUUCUUGGUAAUGACCAUGUUAACAACACCACCAUAAGCUUGUGUCCUAUUCUCAAGAAUAACGAUUGUAAUCAGGUCAUCCAUUGUCCAAUCC